rnacentral:lncRNA from 1 species
GUCAGGACGGUAGUCCGAGCAUAGACCCUGGAGCGUGGAAAGCCACGUGUUGGAUCGUGAGAUCGAGGACACACCGAGUGUGUAGUGACUCAACCCGAGGAUUUGUUAGCGUUGAACUUUUUCGACGCAUGUAGGACGAUCGGUUGAUCGGGUGUGUCGUUUCGAACACCCUACCAUGUGAGAUGGUUUUGUGCGCCAACAAAUGGAUUGGCCUUACUUGG